CCACGCCCUCUCAUAAGUGAAGAACAGGAAUAUUCCGGUUUUUCCAGGUUGCCUGAAAAAAUGUAGUCACGUAGUUUUCUUAGACGGUGAACAAGCUGUAUUACAAAGAGCAAAAGGUUUUUUCUUUUGGAGAUACACCGAAAUAUUAAAGAAAUAUUCAGAGAGCGAGACAACAUUGGUUGUGAUGGCUGAACGUUUUUUCCUGCUACUAGUCACCCAUGAGGCACGGAGCAGCCGCGUGAGCACAUUUUGACCAGAGGUCAGGUCCUUUUAGCGGGAACCUAAACUUCCUGGAGCUGCAUUCGAAUAUCGUUGGAUGUUGAUGCUGGAACUGGCGUGAACAGGAAGUUGGGGGAGGCACUCAAUGGUAGGGCGUCACUGCACUUACUCAGUACUUCCUCUACAGCUCUCUGUGUAGAAAAAUUGAGUUUUCAGUUACCAUGGCAUUCACAAGGUCCAAGGAGGACGACACUAAUUCAGUAUACCCCAGCUUUAUCCAUGCAAAACACCAAGACAAGCUUAAGCUACAGAAUGGUAACAGAGAUGGGACAGGACAAGGAUUCACUAUUGUGAAUAGCACAUCUUUACCUCAACCACUUUGACCAACUCGACCAGGUCAAUUUGGCGUGACUCCACAGGCUGGGGGAUCUCAAGACUGCUCUGCUUUGCAUCCUCCAGUAAAGGCUCAACUGCGAGAAAGCAUGGAUUUGCCAGGUCAAGCGUCUGAGCCUGAGGAACUGAGAGAUGAUCUACUAGUGUGAUUUAUGCUGAUGGAAUUUACCUCUGGAUCGCUUCUUUUGUAGCAGGAAGGGUAAAUACCAGUGACCUCAGCAGACCAGCUAAUCAUCCACAUCCCACCAGUUUGCAAGUGGACCAACCUUUGUGAAGAACUUGUGGCCACGGAUAUUCUGCGAUGACGGGCGAUCCUGUGGGUCGAUUUGAAAUAUUUUGCCCAUCAGUUUCCCAGCUUCAAUACCGAGGUUCUGGGGUAGAAUAAAUUUAGCUUCUUUGAUGUUCUUUAUCAUUUCACAGCGAUCGUCGUGAUCGAAUGGGAUUUCCCCAACCAGAAGCUGGUACCUGUAGUAAGAAAGGCAGCAAAGGUGUUUGAGGUCUUUCACAUUUGACAUAAAAAUGCUGUGCUUCCAAAAGAGCAAUUCCUCUCAACUGUGUGCCAGUAUUCAUUUUUCUUUUCUAUUUCAAGUAGAAAAAAAAACAUAUUUAUGUAUGUUAGACGCAUGUCUUCUUAAAAUGUUAGACAGAUUUUAUUAGCCAUGCUGAUCUUUGGCCGGGAGGAGGGUUGAUAGGGUAUACGUACAUGACACAGCCCAGUGCCCAGACUUCUGCUUCUGUUCCAUGGCGCUCCCGUUUCCACACUUCUGGAGCCAUGUAGACUGGAGUACCACACACUUUUCUACAACACACACAAAUGGAAAACGUUAAGCGCACAUGUGCUUUAGUUUGCUGUAUAAACAAAUUUGAAAGCUUAGCCAGGAAUUCUGCAAAAAACACCUACUUCUCCCUCGGCUCCAGCUUGACCGCCAGUCCAAAAUCUCCAAUUUUCAGUUCCAUUUUGUCAUUCACAAAUAAAUUUUCUGAAAGACAAACGAAUUUGCAUUAAGGAUAGACUCAAAUACUUUGUCAAACUGCAGACUUUACCAAAUUGAUAAAUUAACACUACACAGAAAUCCAGACGAGCUACACUCGCAAUGCCAUGUGAAAUGCCAGCAUUAUUAAACAGAGAAUUGAGUAAAGCGUGAGUGCAUGUACACAUACCGAACUAGAUGUCCCUAUGGACAUAACAUUGCCGGUAGAUGUGUUUUAUCCCCGAUAUCAGCUGUUGAAUGUAAUAGCGGACUUCGGGGUCAGAGUCCCGCGAGCUUUCAGGAUGUCACCAAGUGUCUGGGCAGGGAGAAACAGGGGCAGCCUGAUCCAUCACAAAGUCUUUGCCUUAGUAAGAUGUCUACAAAAGUCAGGGACUCACCUGCCUACUGCACAACUCCAUGAAAAUAUACAUGAACAGAUCGUCUUCAAAAGAAUGGGAGAAGCCCACAACGUUCUUGUGCCGUGGUUUUUUUUCAAAAUCUCCACUUCUUGACACACCUGAGUGAAAUAUCAAACACCAUCUCAUCAAGUAUUGUAACAGGGAAAUGCAGAUAAACUGCAAAGAGGGAUGACAUUAAGCACAAUCCAUACCACAUACCUCCUCCAGUCCCCAGGAAUGUAGAGGUAUGACCAUCACAGCAAAGGUGUCACCACUUUCAAGGUCGGUCAUCUUGUAGCACUUGCCACAAGCACCCUAAAGAACAUGUCAAUAAAGGGCAUU